rnacentral:rRNA from 1 species
CGCUGUCACUCCUACGGGAGGCAGCAGUGGGGAAUCUUGGACAAUGGGCGCAAGCCUGAUCCAGCCAUGCCGCGUGAGUGAUGAAGGCCCUAGGGUCGUAAAGCUCUUUCGCCAGGGAUGAUAAUGACAGUACCUGGUAAAGAAACCCCGGCUAACUCCGUGCCAGCAGCCGCGGUAAUACGGAGGGGGUUAGCGUUGUUCGGAAUUACUGGGCGUAAAGCGCGCGUAGGCGGACUGGAAAGUUGGGGGUGAAAUCCCGGGGCUCAACCCCGGAACUGCCUCCAAAACUCCCAGUCUUGAGUUCGAGAGAGGUGAGUGGAAUUCCGAGUGUAGAGGUGAAAUUCGUAGAUAUUCGGAGGAACACCAGUGGCGAAGGCGGCUCACUGGCUCGAUACUGACGCUGAGGUGCGAAAGUGUGGGGAGCAAACAGGAUUAGAUACCCUGGUAG